rnacentral:rRNA from 1 species
GAAGGUGGCAAGCGUUGUUCGGAUUUACUGGGCGUACAGGAGCGUAGGCGGUUGGGGUAAGCCCUCCGUGAAAUCUCCAGGCUUAACCUGGAAAGUGCAGAGGGGACUGCUCAGCUAGAGGAUGGGAGAGGAGCGCGGAAUUCCCGGUGUAGCGGUGAAAUGCGUAGAGAUCGGGAGGAAGGCCGGUGGCGAAGGCGGCGCUCUGGAACAUUUCUGACGCUGAGGCUCGAAAGCGUGGGGAGCAAACAGGAUUAGAUACCCUGGUAGUCCACGCCUUAAACGAUGGAUACUAAGUGUCGGCGGGUUACCGCCGGUGCCGCAGCUAACGCAGUAAGUAUCCCGCCUGGGAAGUACGGCCGCAAGGUUG